GGAGGCCCCGCUGCUGGGGGGCCACGGAAUGGGCGCCGGUGUCUGCGGUGCAGAACCCGCUGCGCGCUCCUCCUCUCAGACUUUCAGUGAAUACCAUCAUGGCCAGCUCAAAAGAAGUUACGAAAUGAUUAAGACACAGUCCCCGCCCCACAGAAACUGAGACUGUGCAAGGAAAGGCCAUUUCCCGCCCCACCCUCUGCCCUCACUCCCCAC